rnacentral:rRNA from 1 species
CCGAAAAUCAAGAGUAGCGAACGGGUGAGUAACGCGUGGGUAACCUACCUUUCAGCGGGGGAUAACUAUUGGAAACGAUAGCUAAUACCGCAUAAUAAUGUUGGAUGCAUAUUCGACAUUUGAAAGUACCAACUGGUACACUGAGAGAUGGACCCGCGUUGUAUUAGCUAGUUGGUAGUGUAAUGGACUACCAAGGCGAUGAUACAUAGCCGACCUGAGAGGGUGAUCGGCC